rnacentral:rRNA from 1 species
AUGCCGCGUGUGUGAAGAAGGCCUUCGGGUUGUAAAGCACCUUUGUCAGGAACGAAACGGUGGGGGCUAAUAUCCUCUGCUAAUGACGGUACCUGAAGAAUAAGCACCGGCUAACUACGUGCCAGCAGCCGCGGUAAUACGUAGGGUGCGAGCGUUAAUCGGAAUUACUGGGCGUAAAGCGUGCGCAGGCGGUUGUGCAAGACAGAUGUGAAAUCCCCGGGCUUAACCUGGGAAUUGCAUUUGUGACUGCACGGCUAGAGUGUGUCAGAGGGGGGUAGAAUUCCACGUGUAGCAGUGAAAUGCGUAGAUAUGUGGAGGAAUACCGAUGGCGAAGGCAGCCCCCUGGGAUAACACUGACGCUCAUGCACGAAAGCGUGGGGAGCAAACAGGAUUAGAUACCCUGGUAGUCCACGCCCUAAACGAUGUCUACUAGUUGUCGGGUCUUAAUUGACUUGGUAACGCAGCUAACGCGUGAAGUAGACCGCCUGGGGAGUACGGUCGCAAGAUUAAAACUCAAAGGAAUUGACGGGGACCCGCACAAGCGGUGAAUGAUGUGGAUUAAUUCGAUGCAACGCGAAAAACCUUACCUACCCUUGACAUGUACGGAGACCUGCUGAGAGGUGGGGGUGCUCGAAAGAGAGCCGUA